rnacentral:rRNA from 1 species
UACGGGGGGGGGCAAGCGUUGUUCGGAAUUACUGGGCGUAAAGCGCGACGCAGGCGGUUCUUCAAGUCAGAGGUGGAAGCCCAGAGCUCAACUCUGGAAUGGCCUUUUGAGACUAGAGAACUAGGGUACGGGAGAGGUGAGUGGAAUUCCGAGUGUAGAGGUGAAAUUCGUAGAUAUUCGGAAGAACACCAGUGGCGAAGGCGGCUCACUG